rnacentral:lncRNA from 1 species
AUGUAGCGACGGACGUGCUCAUCCUCCUCGCUGACACGGUGACGUACCACCUCCGCGGUGUCCGGAAGCCUCGGCACCGUCACUGGCCCACGCGACCGCCACCAAACAAGGAUUGGGUCAACAACGGGCUGGCUCCUCACCAACCUACGCCCCCCGGAAGGUAGAAACUCCCAAUACCAGCCGAGCGGAGCCCAGUCCCGGAUAGGGCCCCUCUGAUCAAGCAGGUGUCCUCCGCCGAGUCGACGACGAGGAUGCGGGAUAGGCAUCGUAAAAUGAACUAAAAAAAAUAAACUAGUUUUAUUAAUUUUCUUGCUAAAAAUAAACUAUUAACACUUAAGCAUAUACAAUAGCAAAAUUAAACUAUUAACACUUANNNNNNNNNNCUGCCCUCCAACGCAACCAUGUAGCAACGGACGUGCUCAUCCUCCUCGCUGACACGGUGACGUACCACCUCCGGGGUGUCCGAAAGCCUCGGCACCGUCACUGGCCCACGCGACCGCCACCAAACAAGGAGCGGGUCAACAACGGGCUAGCUCCUCACCAACCUACGCCCCCCGGAAGGUAGCACCUCCCAAUACCAGCCGGGCGGAGCCCAGUCCCG